rnacentral:rRNA from 1 species
GUAGGGAAUAUUGGGCAAUGGUCGGAAGACUGACCCAGCCAUGCCGCGUGCAGGAAGACGGCCCUCUGGGUUGUAAACUGCUUUUAUCUGGGAAGAAAAAGGCCAUGCGUGGCAAAUUGCCGGUACCAGAUGAAUAAGCACCGGCUAACUCCGUGCCAGCAGCCGCGGUAAUACGGAGGGUGCGAGCGUUGUCCGGAUUUAUUGGGUUUAAAGGGUGCGUAGGCGGCUGAUUAAGUCAGCGGUGAAAGACUUCGGCUUAACCGGAGCAGUGCCGUUGAUACUGGUUGGCUUGAGUGUCGGAGGGGUACAUGGAAUUGAUGGUGUAGCGGUGAAAUGCAUAGAUACCAUCAGGAACACCGAUAGCGAAGGCAUUGUACUGGCCGACAACUGACGCUGAUGCACGAAAGCGUGGGGAUCGAACAGGAUUAGAAACCCCAGUAGUCC